rnacentral:rRNA from 1 species
UACGGAGGGUGCAAGCGCUAUCCGGAUUUACUGGGUUUAAAGGGUGUGUAGGCGGACUGUUAAGUCAGUGGUGAAAUCUCCAGGCUCAACCUGGAAACUGCCGUUGAUACUAUCAGUCUUGAAUUCUGUUGAGGUAGGCGGAAUAUGUCAUGUAGCGGUGAAAUGCUUAGAGAUGACAUGGAACACCGAUUGCGAAGGCAGCUUACUAAGCAGAGAUUGACGCUGAGGCACGAAAGCGUGGGGAUCAAACAGG